rnacentral:rRNA from 1 species
UACGUAGGGUGCAAGCGUUGUCCGGAAUUUAUUGGGCGUAAAGAGCUCGUAGGCGGUCUGUCGCGUCUGCUGUGAAAUCCCGGGGCUCAACCCGGGCUUGCAGUGGAUACGGGCAGACUAGAGUUCGGUAGGGGAGACUGGAGUUCUGGUGUAGCGGUGAAAUGCGCAGAUAUCAGGAGGAACACCGGUGGCGAAGGCGGAUCUCUGGGCCAUUACUGACGCUGAGGAGCGAAAGCGUGGGGAGCGAACAGG